rnacentral:rRNA from 1 species
UACGGGGGGGGCAAGCGUUGUUCGGAAUUACUGGGCGUAAAGGGCUCGUAGGUGGCCAACUAAGUCAGACGUGAAAUCCCUCGGCUCAACCGGGGAACUGCGUCUGAUACUGUGCGGCUAGAGUGCGGAAGGGGCAACUGGAAUUCUUGGUGUAGCGGUGAAAUGCGUAGAUAUCAAGAGGAACACCUGCGGCGAAGGCGACAUCCUGGACCGGUAUUGACGCUGAGGCGCGAAAGCCAGGGGAGCAAACGGG